rnacentral:rRNA from 1 species
UUACUUAAAGCGUAUGGAGGAUGCCUAGACUGAAGUAAGCGAUGAAGGACGUAGCAGGUUGCGAUAAGCCUCGGGGAGCUGCCAAGCAAGCUUUGAUCCGAGGAUUUCCGAAUGAGACAACUCUUCGCCGAUGAGGCGAAAUCAUUAACUGAAUUCAUAGGUUAAUGAAGCACACCCUGGGAACUGAAACAUCUUAGUACCAGGAGGAAAAGAAAACAAUAGUGAUUCCGCAAGUAGUGGCGAGCGAAAGCGGAACAGCCGACACUCUUUAGCAUUGAUCCAAUAGAAUGUCUCUGGAAAGAGCGACCAUAGAGGGUAAUAGUCCCGUAUAUGAACGAUUGAUGUGGAAAUAGGUGUGUCAAAAAGUAGGGCGGGACCGGAGAAAUCCCGUUUGAAGAUGGGAGCACUAACUUCCAAGGCUAAAUAUUACUUCAGAUCGAUAGUGAACUAGUACCGUGAGGGAAAGGUGAAAAGCAUCCCGAUAAGGGAGAUGAAAUAGUAUCUGAAACCAUACGCUAACAAAGAAUCAGAGCCCCGGCGCUUGCGUCGAGGUGAUGGUGUGCUUUUUGCAGAACGAGCCAACGAGUUAGUUUUAUAUGGCAGCGUAAGCCACUUUGUGGCGGACGCAUAGUGAAAGCGAGGCUUAACCGCCGCAUAUUGUCGUAUGGACUAGACCCGAAGCCAGGCGAGCUACAUAUGAGCAGGGUGAACUCCGAGUAACAUCGGGGGGAGGCCCGAACCCACUAGUCGUUCGACUCUAGGGGAUGACUUGUGUGUAGAGGAGAAAUUCCAAUCGAGCUUGGCAAUAGCUGGUUCUCUCCGAAAUAGCUUGAGGGCUAGCGUUCGGUAAAUGAGCAUGGGAGGUAGAGCUACUGAAUGAGGCCGCGCGGCUUGCCGUAGCGAUCUCAACCAAACUCCGAAUUCCCAUGUUUCUUAUCCGAGCAGUCAGAAAUCCGGCUCUAAGGUCGGAUCUCAAAAGGGAAAAAGCCCAGAUCAUAAUCUAAGGUCCCCAAAUUCAUGUUAAGUGGAAAAGGAAGUAAAGUUUCUCAAACACCUAGGAGGUUGGCUUAGAAGCAGCCAUCCUUUAAAGAGUGCGUAAUAGCUCACUAGUUUAGAGAUUUUGCGCCGAAAAUGUAACGGGGCUAAACAUGAUACCGAAGAUAUGGACUCCAUUGGUUUGGUAGGAGAGCGUUCCUUGUGCGUUGAAGCCUAAGGCGUGAGCCGUGGUGGAGCGCAGGGAAGUGAGAAUGUUGGCAUAAGUAACCGCAAUGCACGUGAGAGCCGUGCACCCCGAAAGUCCAAGGUUUCCUGGGCAAUGGUGAUCAUCCCAGGGUUAGUCGGUCCUAAGGCGAGGCUGAAAAGCGUAGUCGAUGGACAACAGGUUAAUAUUCCUGUACUGAAAUAAUAUUCGAUGGAGGGACGCAUUUUAGUAUAUUCUGCGCCUUAAUGGAUUGGCGUAGGGUUUUUAAGGAAGCUUUCUAGGAAAAUCCGGAAAGCAAUAUUCCAAGAAUUCUCUGGAACCCCGACCUCGUGUCGGGGGAACAGAAUAAAGCAAAGUGCCAGGAAAAACUUCUAAGAUUAGUAUUAUUUCAUCCGUACCGCAAACCGACACAGGUGGACAGGGCGAGUAGCCCAAGGGGAACGGGAGAACCUUCGUUAAGGAACUCGGCAAAACAGCUAGACGUAAGUUCGCAAGAUGUCUCGCCUAUAUCGCAAGGUAUAGGCCGCAGCUAAAGAUCCCAAGCGACUGUUUAUCAAAAACACAGGUCUCUGCAAACCCGCAAGGGGAAGUAUAGGGGCUGACGCCUGACCAGUGCUGGAACGUUAACGGGAGCGGUGCAAGCCAAUCCCCGAAGCGCCAGUGAACGUCGGCGAUAACUAUAAUCGUCCUAAGGUAGCGAAAUUCCUUGUCAGGUAAAUUCUGACCCGCAUCAAAGGCGUAACGAUUUGGGAACUGUCUCAACGAAGGACCCGGUGAAAUUGCAGUGGGGGUAAAGAUGCCCCCUACCUACGGCAAGACGAAAAGACCCCGUGGAGCUUUACUACAACUUGGCAUUGAAUUGUGAUUUUAGUUGCCGAGCAUAGGUGGGAGACUUUGAAGUUUCGACUCAGGUUGAAAUGGAGUCAACAGUGGAAUACCACCCUGCUGGAAUUAUAAUUCUAACCCUGGUCUGUUAUCUGGAUCUGAUGAUAUAAAUUAGCCUAAAAAGUCUAGAUACCAGACCGGGAACAGUGCCUGGCGGGUAGUUUGACUGGGGCGGUCGCCUCCUAAAUGGCAACGGAGGCGUUUACAAAGGUUGGCUAGGUCCGGAUGGAAAUCGGGCUGAUAGUGCAAACGCAUAAGCCAGCUUUACUGAGAGACCCAUAAGUCGAUCAGUUACGAAAGUAGAAGUUAGUGAACCGACUAUCACUUGUAGGAGUGUAGAAGAUCAUCAGAUAAAAGUUACCCCGGGGAUAACAGGCUGAUCCCUCCCAAGAGUUCACAUCGACGGAGGGGUUUGGCACCUCGAUGUCGGCUCAUCGCAUCCUGGGGCUGGAGAAGGUCCCAAGGGUUUGGCUGUUCGCCAAUUAAAGCGGUAC